CACGCGCAUCUUGGCUAGCAAGUUGUGUAGUACUUUGCUCGAGGACAUUCCGGCAACCAUCUGUUUCCGGAAGAUCUCUGAGCGCAGAGUUGGAAGCGGAGUUCGCAAAUUUGCGGGGAAAGGUGGUUGUCUGCCAAUACGCCUGUUACUGUGAAAAUGCUCCGUUUGAUUUAUUUUCUUUUUCCACUCAACUUUUCUAAAGACCCAACAGGAGAAGAGAUCAAAAACGUGCACAUUAGAGAGAGCGAGAGAGAGACAGAGAGAGACAGAGAGACAGAGAGAGCGAAAGAAACAGAGAGAGAGAGAUGGAUAGAGGAAGAUUGAGCAAGAUGGAAGGAAGAGAGACCAGGGAACGUACAGGGUGUAAAUUGAUCAGAACAGAAGAGGAAACCAGGUGAGAACCAACAAAAGAAGAAACAACAAGAGAAGCUUUAGAUAAAGGAAGAAGAGGAGUCAGUUGUUUGAGGCGGAAACUAAAGAUGCAGCAAAAGGCCAUUGC
rnacentral:lncRNA from 1 species